GGCUGUUUGGGCUGCUACAACGAAACACCAUAGAAUGAGUAGCUUAUAAACAGCAGACAUUUAUUUCUCACAGUUCUGGAGGCUGGGAAGUCCAAGAUUGAGGCAUCAGUAAAGACCCAUGUUCUGGUUCAUAGAUAGUGCCCUCUCACUGUAUCCUCACAUGGGGAAAGGGACAAGAAGCUCCCUAGGGCCCAUUUUAUAUAAGCGCUAAUCCCAUGAUCUAAUUGCCUCCCAAAAGCCCCCACCUCCUAAUACCAUCACUUUUGGGAUUAGGAUUUCAACUAAUGAGUUUUUGAGAGGACACAAACAUUGAGAUCAUGGCUCCCAGGAAGGAUGCAGUACCUACUUAUGCCCUAAGCACUGGACAUUUUGGUUUGCUAAUUUUCCAAAAGGCAGCUGUUAGUGGAAAGAGCCCAGGAUGUAGAGUCAAAAAGUCUCUUUUGUUAUUUCUGCCCAGCCACAGGCCAGAUGUCAGAUUUUGGAUACAGGUUAGAAUCAUGGUCUUCUACAAACUCAUCGAACGGACAGGCACACGGGAAUUUCAUCAACCUGAGGAGAUGGUCACUUUCCCAUAAUUGUCCAUCCUUUGGAUCCUGUGGCAGAGAUUGCUGGCUGGUAACAAAAAGUCUUUCCUCAUCUUGUGAACACAAUUACACUUCCCAGCUUCCCAGCAUCAGAUAUGGCCAUGUGACUGAAUUCUAAAAUGAUAUAUGGAAAGAAAUGAUGCGUUCCAGUCCUAGCCGAUAAAACAAAUUCCUCCAUGCAAUCCCUCAUUCUCCUCUCUUUUUCUUGCUAUAUAUUGAUGCCCAGCAUGGCAUGAGCUGAGAAGUGACACACGGAGGAUGGCAAAGCCUCCAUUAACCUGGAUCCCUGAAAGACUGCAUGGAGCAACGCCCCCACCAUGACCAUUACUAGUCAGCAAUAUCUGCAUUGGACUGUUACAUGAGGGAGAAAUAAAAUUUCAUGACACUAAACCUCCUGAUAUUUUAGGAUUUGUUACAGCAGCUGUUGCCACCCUAACUAAUACAGAUAUCUUUCUCUAUUACAG
rnacentral:lncRNA from 10 species